rfam:Schistosoma mansoni strain Puerto Rico chromosome W, complete genome
AGCCUUCUGAAUUUGUGCCGAUAUUUCGUCAGACACCAUACCAUCAGUACUGAUGACACUCUCAAUACACAAGUGGAGCG